CUACAGGAUAUGGAUGGGGGAGCCCGAUCGGGACCUUGUUGGCUGUUUUUUAAUGCAAGUAAACGACAUGUUGUUUAUGACAUUGUUGCCCCACGAUUUGUGUUGUGCCUUAAAUCCUCCCUUUUGGGAAGUACUUUAGUACUUUGGUAGAAGUAGUGAACUGGCCCACGUCGUCAUGGACAUGGGACCACACAGAGUUUUAAUAUGAGCGAGGGACACUUUUCACUAGUAGCGUUGCAGGUUAUAUUUAUCGGUUGUAUUCGUUCACAAAUCUGAUCUGACUUUUCACUUACUCAGUAGAAUAAAAUUUUUUAAUGAGACACAAUCUAGUAAGGAGAAAAGCUAUUUGAGAAUUACUGUGGCAAUUCCUUUGGUGCUCUUAAGAAGGGGACUGGAUUUCAAAUAUUUCCUCCAAAUACAUUUGACAAGGUUAUAUUGGCAAUUGAUACUAUGCACAAGGACCAACAAAAACUGCUUGUUAAUCACUCCCUACUUCCAUGUUCCAUCUAUGAAAUGAUAUUAGCCGUUUUUAUUUUUUCUUCCUCUUAAUUGUAAUUGUCAAGUACAUCAUGUUUCAUUGAUUACUCCAUCUCUUCUGCCUUUUAUUGUUCAAUUUGAAUUUUGAGUUGCACUUUGGUAUUAGAGGAUGACCUAGUUCUGCUUGAUCAGAUGUGUGCAUUUCAUAAUUUAUGUAUAGAUGAUAGUUUGUGUGGAUCAUGUGUAUAUAACCCUUCAUGUCUGAAUUGAUCAAGGUUCAGGGUACCAUAGUUUCAUAAUCUGAACCCAUUAGGUUUUAACAUUGCAACAUAGCAGUGUAUUAACUGUAGUUAUCUUUACUUUGUAUUCUCUAUAUAUUUUUAUACCUCCUUCACUGCAGCACAAUGUGGGGCAAUGUGAAGGGACAAAGUUGGAAAGAGAUGAAUAACUCCAUCAAUGUUCACUUUUCUUUUUGGAAAUGAACAUGAAACUUUUAGGUAAUUUUAAACAUUUUAAAUGUUUUUAAUUGUAUAGGUAGUGGCAGAAAAAUAGUUUUAACAAGCAUACCAACAGGGAAAAUGUAUUCAUUAUUUUUCUAUGACCAACUCUUGACAGUUAUAGCAGAAUUUGCCAGCAGAAUUAAGAGUGAGGUUAGGAUUUGACAUUAUGAACGCAAAUAUUGAGGAUGAACUAACAAACAUGACUUGCAUGUGUGAAUCAAUUUGAAAUUUGUACAGUGGCGUGUUUCAUCUAAAGCGGAUUAAAUGGGGGCCCAAAGGGGCUGUUCUUUCUCCUGUCUCCUCG
ensembl:lncRNA